rfam:Gossypium arboreum cultivar AKA8401 contig_2610_17, whole genome shotgun sequence.
GCCGAGGUGGUGAAAUUGGUAUACACGCUACUUUGAGGGGGUAGUAACUAUAACUGUUGUGCGGGUUCAAAUCCCGCCCUUGGCA